rnacentral:rRNA from 1 species
UACGUAGGGUGCAAGCGUUGUCCGGAAUUAUUGGGCGUAAAGAGCUCGUAGGCGGUCUGUCGCGUCGGCUGUGAAAUCUCGGGGCUCAACCCCGAGCCUGCAGUCGAUACGGGCAGACUAGAGUGCUGUAGGGGAGACUGGAAUUCCUGGUGUAGCGGUGAAAUGCGCAGAUAUCAGGAAGAACACCAAUGGCGAAGGCAGCUCUCUGGGACGGUACUGACGCUGAGACGCGAAAGCGUGGGGAGCGAACAGG